UACGAAGGGGGCUAGCGUUGUUCGGAAUCACUGGGCGUAAAGCGUAUGUAGGCGGAUUGUUAAGUCAGGGGUGAAAUCCCGAGGCUCAACCUCGGAACUGCCUUUGAUACUGGCUUUCUUGAGUUCGGGAGAGGUGAGUGGAACUCCUAGUGUAGAGGUGAAAUUCGUAGAUAUUAGGAAGAACACCAGUGGCGAAGGCGGCUCACUGGCCCGGUACUGACGCUGAUGUGCGAAAGCGUGGGGAGCAAACAGG
rnacentral:rRNA from 1 species